rnacentral:rRNA from 1 species
ACGCUCGACACCUACGAGAGGCAGCAGUGGGGAAUAUUGCACAAUGGGGGAAACCCUGAUGCCGCGACGCCGCGUGAGCGAAGAAGUAUUUCGGUAUGUAAAGCUCUAUCAGCAGGGAAGAAACUGACGGUACCUGACUAAGAAGCACCGGCUAAAUACGUGCCAGCAGCGUGACGUAUGNGNGGCGGNGNGACGAG